rnacentral:lncRNA from 1 species
AUGAAACCUUAUGUUGGUACAACUGCAGUUAUCAAUGAGAGUGACUUCACCUUCACCCAAAUAUGUAACGUUCCACAAACCCACACCUGUGUUAUCAACCAUACCUUAGGACAGAAGGAACGAGUUUGCGGAAAGGAUGUGGCACUUGCCAGUAAUUCACACAUGCUGACAGGUAAGUUCUGUGUAUUUUUUUGUGUACAUUUUCAUACUUCUUUCAGCCAAAAUACUACAUAAAGUCAUAAUGCAUAAAAUUUAACUGCAGUAUUCCUUUACUUUUAUUUCAUUUUUUUGGCUCUUUUCCAUUUAUCUGGCAGAAUUAUAUAUGAGGCCAAAUCUUUAAAUUCUUUGCAGUUUUCUCUUUGGAUUUACAGCACAAGUCUGUUGAUUAUUACAUAUCAGUCACUAUUAAUAUAAGACAAACAUUAAAGAAAUGGCAAAGGGGCAGUUACAAGAAAAAUGCUGCAGAACAAUGCAUGGUAUUUCUCUUCCCACAUUCUAACGCAAUCCAUCACAGCCAAGAUCUUCACAAUCUGUAGGGAUCUCAGAGAAUUGUGGGUAUUUUUUUCUUUUUUCUUUUUUUUCUUUUCUGAUUGUAUCUUUUCUGCACAGUUGAAAAACACUUCAGUGUUUUGUUUGUUGGCUUUUUUAUCUUAAAGACAGGAUCCAUGGUACCUGAUGAAAUGUACAGAGUCACAUUUCAAUAUAAAUAUGUAAUUACUAACAAACACAUUUGGUAAUACCAAGCCUUCUUAUUGGAAACCCACUCCAGUGCUGCUUAUUACUUGGCAUUUGUAGACUCUCCUACAUUACUUUCUAAUGGCUUUAUAUGGGUACUUCAAAUGGAUUUGAAUUUUUAAAAGCAAGUAUCACAUCAUAUACAUCUCUGAUAUGCCUACAUCAUCACAUUGUACAGUUCUGGCAUACAAUGGAUGUCAAUAAUAAAUAUUAAAAGUACAUAGUUGUUGUUACCAUUAUUAUCAAUUACUAUGGUAUCAUUACACAUUAGCUUAUGAAGUUAAGUGUAGGUAGCAAACAAAAGUCAAAUUAUAAAUUCCUAAAAAGAAUACAUCUUUGGUCAUGGAUUUUUACUCAUACAUUUUAAUAUAUUUUGUUUGUCAGUUAUGGAUCUCAAGGAAUUCACUCUCUUAUCUUUCCCCACUUCAAUGACAUUCAUCUAUUCUCUCAUUACUAAAAUACUACAGUAGUUCAACUUUGGAUAGAUUUGCUGCCUGAUGCCCUCACCUAUGUGAAACAAAGGAGGCAAGUGUAUUAAAGAGUUAUUAGCAGGUACAGCAGGUAUGGCAAAAACCAUGCGUUUCAUUCAUGAAAGGGCACUGCCCACUCAGAUAUUAUUUAUUCAUUGUUUGCACAAAUAUAACAACAUUAGAACUGCAAUAAAUUCAAACUAGGGAAGAUAUAUAUACUCUGAAAAAAGAAGUGAGGCCUGUUAGCUUUGUAGCAAAAGAAAGGACUCAAAAUGAACCUGUAUGAAACAGACAUAACUGAAAGAGCGGCUUUGUCUUUGUUCAUUUUCUAAAAAUAGGCUGCACCUUUCAGCUAGUUUCUAAGGCAGCAUUGUAGUACAUCACAGUUAAAUAAUUGAAAAUUUUUUGUACAGGCUUUGAGUCUACAAGGAUAAGUUAAAUUAUUAUAAUUUGUAUUUCUUUAGUGAUGUUGCAGGGAAUAAAAUACUUUCCCAAUCAGACAUUCCUACUUUUUAGGCCAAUGAGUUCAUGAAAUUUGACCUAAAAACAUUUAAAACAAAUAUAAGUGAUAUCCAAACAACUGAAGAAAUCCAAGUGUUUCAUAGUGAAGAGAGAUUUACUAAAAGACGGUGCAUCAUCUCAGUGGAACAUGAUGUAAUCAUUUAUGUGAUAAUUUUGAAAACUAUAUAAAAACAAGGGCUAAUGUUAACAGUGUUAAGUAAAUAAUGAGUAUGGAUUCCACAUGGACAUAUGAUUGGUUAUCAUGAUGUAAAAGAAGCUUAUUUGCCAAUAAAUAUUGGGAUGAAACAGCAGCAGCACUGGCAGAGCACAGCAGCCAUACGCACAGAUCUGGAGCCACAUUUCCUGAGUUCUGUUUCCAGGUUUGUUGCUUUUCAGUUGCCUUACCUUGAGCAAAUUAUGAAACUUAUGUCUUUCUGUUUACUCAUCUGACAAACAAGGAUGGAGUGUUUUCUUCCAAUGGCUGUUGUAAGGAUUUUUGUUUUUACAUGAGAUCUUGUAUAUAUUAAAUACUAAGAACAAUGCCUGGAACAUAGUAUUACUAUGUGUGCUGUUAAUUUUUUUAAGUAGUCAUGUUAUAUUGGUGAGAAUAAAGGAGAAUUUUAUGUUGUUUCUAGGUAAAGUAAAUUAAAAUAAAAGAUUGCAUCAUGUGAGAGAACUCUAUUUAAAAAAUCGAGGAAUUACACAAAUAAUUCAAAAAGUAUUUUUAAAGAUAAUGAUCAAAAUGAAAUAUUUUUGGAUUCUGAAAGAGAUACAACUCACCUAUAUGGAAAAUUCUACUAAUUGAUAAUUUUCUAAAAUAUCUGGAUAGUCAAGACUUUGUUAUUUUUAAUUAUUUCACUCUUGUUUACAAAUUGC